ACCUGGGUGGCUCAGUCGGUUAAGCAUCUGACUUCAGCUCAGGUCAUGGUCUCACAGUUCAUGGGUUCGAGCCCCACAUCAGGCU
rnacentral:tRNA from 1 species